rnacentral:lncRNA from 1 species
CUCACCUGGCUCCAGUGCUCCCCCUGCGUGGUGUCGUGCCACCGCCAGUCGGGCCCCGUGUUCAACCCCAAGGCGUCCAGCUCCUACGCCUCCGUCUCCUGCUCCGAGCCCCAGUGCAGCGACCUCACCUCCGCCACGCUCAACCCCGCCGCCUGCUCCACCUCCAACGUCUGCGUCUACCAGGCCAGCUACGGGGACAGCUCCUUCUCCAUGGGGUACCUGAGCAAGGACACCGUGUCGCUGGGCUCCAGCAGCAUGCCCAACUUCUACUAUGGGUGCGGGCAGGACAACGAGGGGCUCUUCGGCCGC